CGCCUCCCAUCUCGCGUGAGGGCGAGAUGCGGAGGGAUCAUUA
rnacentral:rRNA from 1 species